UGGGGAAUUUUGGACAAUGGGGGCAACCCUGAUCCAGCCAUUCCGCGUGAGUGAAGAAGGCCUUCGGGUUGUAAAGCUCUUUCGGUAGGGAAGAAAUCGUGAGGGUGAAUAUCCCUUAUGGAUGACGGUACCUGAAGAAGAAGCACCGGCUAACUACGUGCCAGCAGCCGCGGUAAUACGUAGGGUGCGAGCGUUAAUCGGAAUUACUGGGCGUAAAGGGUGCGCAGGUGGUUAUUUAAGACAGAUGUGAAAUCCCCGGGCUCAACCUGGGAACUGCGUUUGUGACUGAAUGGCUAGAGUGCGGCAGAGGGGGGUGGAAUUCCACGUGUAGCAGUGAAAUGCGUAGAGAUGUGGAGGAACACCGAUGGCGAAGGCAGCCCCCUGGGCCAGCACUGACGCUCAUGCACGAAAGCGUGGGGAGCAAACAGG
rnacentral:rRNA from 1 species